GAUGAACGCUGGCGGCGUGCUUAACACAUGCAAGUCGAACGGUGAAGCAGAGCUUGCUCUGUGGAUCAGUGGCGAACGGGUGAGUAACACGUGAGCAACCUGCCCCUGACUCUGGGAUAAGCGCUGGAAACGUCGUCUAAUACUGGAUAUGAGCUGCGACCGCAUGGUCAGCAGUUGGAAAGAUUUUUCGGUCUGGGAUGGGCUCACGGCCUAUCAGCUUGUUGGUGAGGUAAUGGCUCACCAAGGCGUCGACGGGUAGCCGGCCUGAGAGGGUGACCGGCCACACUGGGACUGAGAAACGGCCCAGACUCCUACGGGAGGCAGCAGUGGGGAAUAUUGCACAAUGGGCGAAAGCCUGAUGCAGCAAUGCCGCGUGAGGGAUGACGGCCUUCGGGUUGUAAACCUCUUUUAGCAGGGAAGAAGCGAAAGUGACGGUACCUGAAGAAAAAGCGCCGGCUAACUACGUG
rnacentral:rRNA from 1 species